rnacentral:lncRNA from 1 species
AGAGAAGGGGCAGGAGCCAAACUUACAAUGGCUUUAUUUCCCUCUUUCAGGGAGAUCCAGUCCUCUCCGUUGGAGCUGAUGUCUACUCUAUGUGUCCUGGAAAGCUGUUUCCUUCUAUCUGUUGUAUGAGCUGGAUUUUACAGAGGAAAAAAAGAAAAGAAAGGAAAAGAAAAGAAAAGAAAAGAAAAGAAAAGAAAAGAAAAAGUCUUUUUAAAAAAAGGAUACACAAACAUAGUAUCUUUUGAGGACUCAGAGAGGAAUUACCUAACACACCUGGUUUGCAUCCACCAGCCAUGUCAACAGAAGAGGGGAACACAAGUUUCUUCAAAAAAGAAUAAACAAACAAACAACUGGGUUGGAGCAAAUCCCCAUCCCUACUCAGCUUCAGGAUCCUGUGACUUGACAGCCCAAUUUUCAGAAAACAUUCUUUCAAUUAACCCUGCAGUGGCUAGGCGCUCAGGGCUGCUGCAGAAUGUAGCUUUGGUAGCCUGCAUGGACGGCUACCUCCUCUGGACUGUCAGGAGCAGCUUUAUCCUGGCAGCCCUGGGAGGACUUAAAACACAGAGGUACAGGAAAAUCAGUACUUUGAAGGGAGGGUGAAGUUCCUUAGUCCUAGGACCCUGCUUCCCCCGGGAGGGUCUCACAACGUGACUGACUUUCCUUGGUCUAAAACAUAUGAGCCGAUGCUUCUAAGCUUUCAUCUGAAGCUUGCUAUGCAGAAUUUGUGUCCACAGAGAUCUACUUCCUCCUGCCUCUCAGCUUGACUGCAACUUUCUAUUUAGUCAAAUCUCACCCUGAACUUCUGAUCUCCCUGCUUCUACCUAACUAGCGCUGGGCUUAUAGGCAUGCAGUACCACACCCUGGGUUUGUUAUGGAUGGAAUCGAGGGCUCUGUGCAUGCUAAGCAAACAUUCUACCAAAUAAACUGUGUCCCACCCCCCCACAGAACAAAAUUUUAAUAGGAAUUAAUACUAUAGAUUAACAAUGGUGGCCAUUUCAACUUUCAAUUUAACAAAUAAAUGUUUACUCAACACAUUUAAAACAAUUCCAAUGCCUAUCUUGAUAGCUGGCAUUAGUAAUUCUUUUCAGAAGGGAAGCAGGAAGCUUCUAGUGAAUACUCCAUUCUUCUUAUCCCCUAUGGGCACAGGUUUCCAAAAGCAAGACUGCCAAUGCUUGUAAUAUUUGGCAAGUAAAACAAAAGAUAGCAAAUUGAACUGAAUUUCAGAUGAAGAGAGAAAAAAAUGAUACUAACUCAGACACAGAGACUUCAAGAGUUUCAAAAUGCUCUCAGAACACCAAGGCUUUACUGACCAUCCACUGAGUUAAUCAGGGUUAUGCACGUCCACUUGCAAGCUGAAUGGUCCUUAGAAUCUGGACAUCCAAGGGAUAGAAGCAUGGCUCUGCUCUCCAUGUCACACAAGAGGCUCUUCAGUCUGGGAAUGAUUAAACUCUCAAGUGUCCAAUUGCAGCUUGAGUUGAUUUGAAAUAAUCUUAGAAUUCUAUUCCCUGGAUAUGCUUUCAGAUAGACAGACAGAUGCAGUGUCUCUCCGUAGCCUGGCUUCAUCGUGUAGCCAAGACUAAUCUUGAGCUUUUGAUUCUUUUGCUUCUACCUUCCCAGUGCUGAGACUAUAAGCAUGUGCCUGUACCUGUACCUGUUUUAUGGGGUUCUGGGGACGGAACCCAGGGCUUUCUGGAUACUAGACAAAACUGUUCCAGUCAGACAUGUCCCCAGCCCCGAUAUUUAUAAAGUUCUAAGGGAGAGCUAGUUACUAGGCAGAAAAGAAAUGGUCACUCAGAAGAUUACCAGGUACUAGGGAAUCAGAUGACUUUGAAGAAGGAGCCUGGGGCAAAGACAAGCAAUUCCUCAGUAGGAAAAUGUCCUUAGAACACAAGCACGAAUCACAUGAGAAGGAAAUGGUAUUUUCUUUCUCAACAGCGAUGAAACAUACCAGCUACUUCCUCUGUAAUUGCAUAGAGUUUCCUGCUGGGUGUAAAUUCUGUGGCUCCUCUUAUUUACCACACUGGGAUAUUUGAAAUUCUGUUUCAUUUUUCUUCCUAACAUUACUGCCACUGGUUUUACUUAAGAUGGAUGACAACCUCACAGAAUCUAGGCCUAGACCACUGAGACCAAGAGAGGAUGCUAUCUAGAUCUCUGAUAAUCACGGUCUCCCUCAAGCUGUGGACUCAGCAUUAAUGCUGGGCAUAUCUGCCCACCAGCUCUUUCUCUCCAAGUGCCUAGGGGAAUUCUGCUAAUUAUGACAAUGGCCCCAAUCUGCUUUCAUGUGUAUUAUUUAAUUACAUCAAAAUACUUAUAACUUAAUUAGAAUAAUUGUAGUUUCUAACAGAAGAUAUUUUGAUUGCAUAUCUUGACAUGUAAAAAUUCUCGUGUCAUAAAAGAAAAUAAAAACAACUCUGUCUCUCCCUCUCUUUCUGCCUCCCUCCCUACACUUCGUCCUUUCUUUCCCCCCUUCCUUCCCUUCUAUUCUCCUCUCCUCCUUCUAAACAGGAGUGACCAUUCCCUCUUCUCAGCCUGGUGGAUAAGCCGGGCAAUUCUCUCUGGUAAACUCAUCACACAGCUCAUUGUGUUGGUCAUUGUGUUCUCCUUUUAGUUUCAUUUAGU